rnacentral:snRNA from 1 species
GGAUGUGGGGGCAACCUGGUUGGCCAGGUGGGUGUGGCCUUCCUCCCUCACUGACCCAUGUGCUUUCUCCCGAAGCUGCAUGCUCGGCUGAAGAGGACGAGCUUCUUCGAAGAGACACAACUGCGCUCUCCUGCUAGAAGCUCCACACAAGCUCUCAAGAAUUAAAAGCCAAGCAGGCUAAAAUAUUUACAUAUUCCACGAGUCUAU